AGAUGCUCAGUGCUGGGUGAGAGCCCCAGGGAGGUGGGAGAUCUGUGCUGUAUUCCAGUCUAUGGCAGUCACAUCUUACCAGGGCCUCUGACGGUACCCUGAGCUGGAGCCGCUUUCGUCGUCACUCACCUAGAACAGAAAUCCCCUGCAGACUUUUAUAAGUGCCUCCUCACCUUCCAGAGCCCUCUGAUGGGUGUCCUACCAGGAAAGGGCCAUUUUCCUGCUCUGAAGUGACACCGCAGAUUCAGAACCGGCCUGUGUUGGGCAUUUUAUCCUCGUUGACUCCACUUAAUCCAGCCAUCCUGUCGACAUUAUCCCCACCUAAAGAUGAGGAGACUGAGGCCGGGGGUGGUCAGCCCCUGUGGGCAGAACCAGGGCAGCAUCUUAACCGGCCAAGACGCUCUGUCCUUCACCAGUGAAACACUCACGGGCGACUGCAAUUAAACUGGCUUGUAAUUCCCCGUCUCCCAAACGAACCCUCCCUUCAUGAGGAUGCGCUGGUAGGCAUCGGGCAUUAAUACAAAUGAGGCCGUGCAGCUAUGUGUAAUUAAAGGGGAAGAUGGGUACCUCGCU